UCGAGGGUUCCGCCGUCCUGGUCG
rnacentral:siRNA from 1 species